rnacentral:rRNA from 1 species
GCAAGUCGAGCGAGAAAUCACUUUCGGGUGAUGGAAAGCGGCAGACGGGUGAGUAACACGUGGGAACCUACCUUUUGGAUCGGAAUAACACAGGGAAACUUGUGCUAAUACCGGAUACGCCCUUCGGGGGAAAAAUUUAUUGCCAAAAGAUGGGCCCGCGUUAGAUUAGCUAGUUGGUAAGGUAAAAGCUUACCAAGGCGACGAUCUAUAGCUGGUUUGAGAGGAUGAUC